rnacentral:rRNA from 1 species
UACGAAGGGGGCUAGCGUUGCUCGGAAUCACUGGGCGUAAAGGGUGCGUAGGCGGGUCUUUUAAGUCAGGGGUGAAAUCCUGGAGCUCAACUCCAGAACUGCCUUUGAUACUGAGGAUCUUGAGUACGGGAGAGGUGAGUGGAACUGCGAGUGUAGAGGUGAAAUUCGUAGAUAUUCGCAAGAACACCAGUGGCGAAGGCGGCUCACUGGCCCGUUACUGACGCUGAGGCACGGAAAGCGUGG